GUGGUGCAUGGUUGUCGUCAGCUCGUGUCGUGAGAUGUUGGGUUAAGUCCCGCAACGAGCGCAACCCUUGUCUUUAGUUGCCAUCAUUAAGUUGGGCACUCUAGAGAGACUGCCAGGGAUAACCUGGAGGAAGGUGGGGAUGACGUCAAAUCAUCAUGCCCCUUAUGCUUAGGGCUACACACGUGCUACAAUGGGUAGUACAGAGGGUUGCCAAGCCGUAAGGUGGAGCUAAUCCCUUAAAGCUACUCUCAGUUCGGAUUGUAGGCUGAAACUCGCCUACAUGAAGCUGGAGUUACUAGUAAUCGCAGAUCAGAAUGCUGCGGUGAAUGCGUUCCCGGGUCUUGUACACACCGCCCGUCACACCACGGGAGUUGGAGACGCCCGAAGCCGAUUAUCUAACCUUUUGGAAGAAGUCGUCGAAGGUGGAAUCAAUAACUGGGGUGAAGUCGUAACAAGGUAGCCGUAUCGGAAGGUGCGGCUGGAUC
rnacentral:rRNA from 1 species